AUGGCCGGUGAAGGAGAUGUGAAGCUGCUGGGCACGGUGGUGAGCCCGUUCGCGGUCCGCGUGUGCAUGGCCCUGCACCUCAAGGGCGUGAGCUACGAGUACCUGGAGCAGGACCUCUUCAACAAGGGCGAGCUCCUCCUCGCCUCCAACCCGGUGCACAAGAAGGUCCCCGUGCUCAUCCACGCCGGCAGGCCCGUCUGCGAAUCGCUCGCCAUCGUCGAGUACGUCGACGAGGUCUGGGCCGGCGCAGCCUCGCUCCUCCCCGCGGACCCCUAUGGCCGUGCCGUCGCCCGCUUCUGGGCCGCCUACCUCGACGAUAAGCUGUUCCCCGCGUGGAUAGGCAUCCUACGCGCCGUCACGGAGGAGGACAGAGCCGAGAAGCUCCACGCCGCGCUCGCGGUGGUCGGGCCCAUGGAGGACGCCCUCGUGCAGUGCUCUGGUGGGAAAGACUACUUCGCCGGCGACUCCGUCGGGUACCUUGACAUCGCGCUCGGGUGCAACCUCUUCUGGUUCGAGGCGCUCCAUGAGAUGUUCGGCGUGACGGUCAUCGACGCAGGCAGGACUCCGCGCUUGGCCGCCUGGGCUGAGAGGUUCGUGGAGACGGAUGCGGCCAAGAAGGCUGCCCCGCCCAUGAAGAGCAUGGUGGACUACGCCGGGAAGCUGCGGAGUAUGUGGGCUGCCGCUGCCGCCGCUGCCAAGUAA
rnacentral:rRNA from 1 species